GCCUGGGUGGUGGAACUGGUAGACACCCGAGACUUAAAAUCUCGUACGCCUUGCGCGUGUGCGGGUUCGACUCCCGCCCCAGGCA
rnacentral:tRNA from 1 species